rnacentral:rRNA from 1 species
CAAGCAGCGGAGCGUGUGGUUUAAUUCGAUGUUACACGAAGAACCUUUACCAGGGUUUGACAUGCAAGUGGUAGGAAGCCGAAAGGUGACCGACCCUUCGGGGAGCUUGCACAGGUGCUGCAUGGCUGUCGUCAGCUCGUGUCGUGAGAUGUUCGGUUAAGUCCGCUAACGAGCGCAACCCUCGCUGUGUGUUAUAUGUGUCACACGGGACUGCCGGUCUUAAGCCGGAGGAAGGUGGGGAUGAUGUCAAGUCAGCAUGACCUUUAUAUCCAGGGCUACACACACGCUACAAUGGUCUGUACAAUGGGUAGCCAAGCCGCGAGGCGGAGCCAAUCCUGAAAGCAGGCCUCAGUUCAGAUUGCAGUCUGCAACUCGACUGCAUGAAGCCGGAGUUGCUAGUAACCGCAGGUCAGCAAUACUGCGGUGAAUACGUUCCCGGGUCUU